UGAUCCUGGCUCAGGAUGAACGCUAGCUACAGGCUUAACACAUGCAAGUCGAGGGGCAUCGGGAAGUUAGCUUGCUAACUUUGCCGGCGACCGGCGCACGGGUGAGUAACGCGUAUCCAACCUACCCUGCAGUCAGGGAUAGCCCGGCGAAAGUCGGAUUAAUACCUGAUGCAGUCAGAAGAGGGCAUCUGAUUUUGACGAAAGAUUUCAUCGCUGCGGGAUGGGGAUGCGUAGGAUUAGGCAGGCGGCGGGCAACGGCCACCGCGCCGACGAUCCUUAGGGUUCUGAGAGGAACGGUCCCCACACUGGUACUGAGACACGGACCAGACUCCUACGGGAGGCAGCAGUGAGGAAUAUUGGUCAAUGGGCGGAGCCUGAACCAGCCAAGUAGCGUGCAGGAAGACGGCCCUACUGGGUUGUAAACUGCUUUUAUGCGGGGAUAAAGUGAGGGACGUGUCCCUUUUGCAGGUACCGCAUGAAUAAGGACCGGCUAAUUCCGUGCC
rnacentral:rRNA from 1 species